rnacentral:lncRNA from 1 species
CGAUGAGCGAUUUUUUGCCUAGGUGGUUUACUCUUUCUUUUGUAGUUGAGAGAGUGAAAGAUUUUGUAUCCAUGUAUAGAGACUACCUACGUAUCUACUUUUAGCACUUGCAUUUGGGAUUUCCUUUAUAUUACUUUAUGCUUUUAUUAGUGGAGUCCAGCUUUAUGUUCCUUUCUCUAUUGUAGAACUUAGUGUUAUAUCAUGCUCUGAUACUCCUAGAUGUCUUUUAUUAUUGCUUUAAUUAUCGUUGUUUUAGACGCCUUAUAUGUUUUAGACGUAUGGCGGGUCUAGGCACGUGCCGGGCGGGUUUCCGCUGGGUCCCGGGGCGUGACAGCCUUACACCCUCCUUUGAUUAUUUUCUUCGCCCUCACAGACGAUAUAGUCGCCGCAAAGCGCCUACUUUUGCACGCUUUGUAGACUAACUCUUCUUGAUUAGGCUCACGAAAA